UCAUACCGGAGGGGCAAAGGUUCCCAUCGGGGCGCAAAGCGCCUCACGGGAUAAUUCGGGAAUGACGUGACGGCGGACCCAAUCCGGGCGCUCAAUCGUUAGCCGCCCCCGCGACUGUGAGCGGAGAGCCCCUGCCAUCAUGCCACCGGCCAAGACACCGGGAAGGCGGCAGUUCAGGCGAUGACCCGCAAGCCAGGAAACCAGCCCUUGCUUGAUGAAACCC
rnacentral:ncRNA from 1 species